AUUGAACGCUGGCGGCAGGCCUAACACAUGCAAGUCGAACGCGUGGCGGACGGGUGAGUAAUGUCUGGGAAACUGCCUGAUGGAGGGGGAUAACUACUGGAAACGGUAGCUAAUACCGCAUACCCUAGGAUGUGCCCAGAUGGGAUUAGCUAGUAGGUGGGGUAAAGGCUCACCUACUCGACGCUCCCUAGCUGGUCUGAGAGGAUGAACAGCCACACUGGAACUGAGGCACGAUCCAGAUUCCUACUGGAGGCAGCAGGGGGGAAUAUUGCACAAUGGGCGCAAGCCUGAUGCAGCCAUGCCGCGUGUAUGAAGGAGGCCUUCGGGUUGUAAAGUACUUUCAGCGGGGAGGCGUUACCCGCAGAAGAAGCACCGGCUAACUCCGUGCCAGCAGCCGCGGUAAUU
rnacentral:rRNA from 1 species